UGGGGAAUUUUGGACAAUGGGCGAAAGCCUGAUCCAGCAAUGCCGCGUGUGUGAAGAAGGCCUUCGGGUUGUAAAGCACUUUUGUCCGGAAAGAAAACGCCGUGGUUAAUACCCGUGGCGGAUGACGGUACCGGAAGAAUAAGCACCGGCUAACUACGUGCCAGCAGCCGCGGUAAUACGUAGGGUGCAAGCGUUAAUCGGAAUUACUGGGCGUAAAGCGUGCGCAGGCGGUCCGCUAAGACAGAUGUGAAAUCCCCGGGCUUAACCUGGGAACUGCAUUUGUGACUGGCGGGCUAGAGUAUGGCAAAGGGGGGUAGAAUUCCACGUGUAGCAGUGAAAUGCGUAGAGAUGUGGAGGAAUACCGAUGGCGAAGGCAGCCCCCUGGGCCAAUACUGACGCUCAUGCACGAAAGCGUGGGGAGCAAACAGG
rnacentral:rRNA from 1 species